GACGAACGCUGGCGGCGUGCUUAACACAUGCAAGUCGAGCGAUGAAUUUUCUUCGGAAAUGGAUUAGCGGCGAACGGGUGAGGAACACGUGAAGAAUCUGCCCUCCACUUUGGGAUAACACAGGGAAACCUGUGCUAAUACCGAAUAUUGAAACAUAAGUGGCAUCACUGAGUUUUGAAAGAAUUUCGGUGGAGGAUGACUUCGCGGCCUAUCAGCUAGUUGGUGAGGUAAUGGCUCACCAAGGCAACGACGGGUAGCCGGCCUGAGAGGGCGACCGGCCACACUGGGACUGAGACACGGCCAGACUCCUACGGGAGGCAGCAGUGGGGAAUAUUGCACAAUGGGCGCAAGCCUGAUGCAGCGACGCCGCGUGAGGGAUGACGGCCUUCGGGUUGUAAACCUCUUUUAGCAGGGAAGAAGCGAAAGUGACGGUACCUGCAGAAAAAGCACCGGCUAACUACGUGCCAGCAGCCGCGGUAA
rnacentral:rRNA from 1 species